GUGUACUUAGCUCAAUGGUUAGAGCAUCACUCAUGAAUGCUGAGUAUGUGAGUUUGACUCUCACAGUACACA
rfam:Puccinia triticina 1-1 BBBD Race 1 supercont2.36, whole genome shotgun sequence.